rnacentral:rRNA from 1 species
UACGGAGGGUGCGAGCGUUGUCCGGAAUCACUGGGAGUAAAGGGCGCGUAGGCGGCCCGGCAAGUCAGUGGUGAAAGCCCGAGGCUCAACUUCGGGUCGGCCACUGAUACUGCUAGGCUUGAGUCGACUAGAGGCAGAUGGAAUUCCGGGUGUAGCGGUGAAAUGCGUAGAGAUCAGGAGGAACACCCGUGGCGAAGGCGGCCCUCUGGCUCGACCCUGACGCUGAGGCGCGAAAGCGUGGGGAGCGAACGGG